AGAGUUUGAUCAUGGCUCAGGACGAACGCUGGCGGCGUGCUUAACACAUGCAAGUCGAACGAAGAGCGAUGGAAGCUUGCUUCUAUCAAUCUUAGUGGCGAACGGGUGAGUAACGCGUAAUCAACCUGCCCUUCAGAGGGGGACAACAGUUGGAAACGACUGCUAAUACCGCAUACGAUCUAAUCUCGGCAUCGAGGAUGGAUGAAAGGUGGCCUCUAUUUAUAAGCUAUCACUGAAGGAGGGGAUUGCGUCUGAUUAGCUAGUUGGAGGGGUAACGGCCCACCAAGGCGAUGAUCAGUAGCCGGUCUGAGAGGAUGAACGGCCACAUUGGGACUGAGACACGGCCCAGACUCCUACGGGAGGCAGCAGUGGGGAAUCUUCCGCAAUGGACGAAAGUCUGACGGAGCAACGCCGCGUGAGUGAUGACGGCCUUCGGGUUGUAAAGCUCUGUUAAUCGGGACGAAAGGCCUUCUUGCGAAUAGUUAGAAGGAUUGACGGUACCGGAAUAGAAAGCCACGGCUAACUACGUGCCAGCA
rnacentral:rRNA from 1 species